CGUGGUAUCCUGUCUGAAUAUGGGGGGACCAUCCUCCAAGGCUAAAUACUCCUGACUGACCGAUAGUGAACCAGUACCGUGAGGGAAAGGCGAAAAGAACCCCGGCGAGGGGAGUGAAAAAGAACCUGAAACCGUGUACGUACAAGCAGUGGGAGCCUCUUAAUGGGGUGACUGCGUACCUUUUGUAUAAUGGGUCAGCGACUUAUAUUCUGUAGCAAGGUUAACCGAAUAGGGGAGCCGAAGGGAAACCGAGUCUUAACUGGGCGUUAAGUUGCAGGGUAUAGACCCGAAACCCGGUGAUCUAGCCAUGGGCAGGUUGAAGGUUGGGUAACACUAACUGGAGGACCGAACCGACUAAUGUUGAAAAAUUAGCGGAUGACUUGUGGCUGGGGGUGAAAGGCCAAUCAAACCGGGAGAUAGCUGGUUCUCCCCGAAAGCUAUUUAGGUAGCGCCUCGUGAAUUCAUCUCCGGGGGUAGAGCACUGUUUCGGCAAGGGGGUCAUCCCGACUUACCAACCCGAUGCAAACUGCGAAUACCGGAGAAUGUUAUCACGGGAGACACACGGCGGGUGCUAACGUCCGUCGUGAAGAGGGAAACAACCCAGACCGCCAGCUAAGGUCCCAAAGUCAUGGUUAAGUGGGAAACGAUGUGGGAAGGCCCAGACAGCCAGGAUGUUGGCUUAGAAGCAGCCAUCAUUUAAAGAAAGCGUAAUAGCUCACUGGUCGAGUCGGCCUGCGCGGAAGAUGUAACGGGGCUAAACCAUGCACCGAAGCUGCGGCAGCGACACUAUGUGUUGUUGGGUAGGGGAGCGUUCUGUAAGCCUGUGAAGGUGUACUGUGAGGUAUGCUGGAGGUAUCAGAAGUGCGAAUGCUGACAUAAGUAACGAUAAAGCGGGUGAAAAGCCCGCUCGCCGGAAGACCAAGGGUUCCUGUCCAACGUUAAUCGGGGCAGGGUGAGUCGACCCCUAAGGCGAGGCCGAAAGGCGUAGUCGAUGGGAAACAGGUUAAUAUUCCUGUACUUGGUGUUACUGCGAAGGGGGGACGGAGAAGGCUAUGUUGGCCGGGCGACGGUUGUCCCGGUUUAAGCGUGUAGGCUGGUUUUCCAGGCAAAUCCGGAAAAUCAAGGCUGAGGCGUGAUGACGAGGCACUACGGUGCUGAAGCGACAAAUGCCCUGCUUCCAGGAAAAGCCUCUAAGCAUCAGGUAACAUCAAAUCGUACCCCAAACCGACACAGGUGGUCAGGUAGAGAAUACCAAGGCGCUUGAGAGAACUCGGGUGAAGGAACUAGGCAAAAUGGUGCCGUAACUUCGGGAGAAGGCACGCUGAUAUGUAGGUGAAGCGACUUGCUCGUGGAGCUGAAAUCAGUCGAAGAUACCAGCUGGCUGCAACUGUUUAUUAAAAACACAGCACUGUGCAAACACGAAAGUGGACGUAUACGGUGUGACGCCUGCCCGGUGCCGGAAGGUUAAUUGAUGGGGUUAGCGGUAACGCGAAGCUCUUGAUCGAAGCCCCGGUAAACGGCGGCCGUAACUAUAACGGUCCUAAGGUAGCGAAAUUCCUUGUCGGGUAAGUUCCGACCUGCACGAAUGGCGUAAUGAUGGCCAGGCUGUCUCCACCCGAGACUCAGUGAAAUUGAACUCGCUGUGAAGAUGCAGUGUACCCGCGGCAAGACGGAAAGACCCCGUGAACCUUUACUAUAGCUUGACACUGAACAUUGAGCCUUGAUGUGUAGGAUAGGUGGGAGGCUUUGAAGUGUGGACGCCAGUCUGCAUGGAGCCGACCUUGAAAUACCACCCUUUAAUGUUUGAUGUUCUAACGUGGGCCCCUUACCGGGGUUGCGGACAGUGUCUGGUGGGUAGUUUGACUGGGGCGGUCUCCUCCUAAAGAGUAACGGAGGAGCACGAAGGUUGGCUAAUCCUGGUCGGACAUCAGGAGGUUAGUGCAAUGGCAUAAGCCAGCUUGACUGCGAGCGUGACGGCGCGAGCAGGUGCGAAAGCAGGUCAUAGUGAUCCGGUGGUUCUGAAUGGAAGGGCCAUCGCUCAACGGAUAAAAGGUACUCCGGGGAUAACAGGCUGAUACCGCCCAAGAGUUCAUAUCGACGGCGGUGUUUGGCACCUCGAUGUCGGCUCAUCACAUCCUGGGGCUGAAGUAGGUCCCAAGGGUAUGGCUGUUCGCCAUUUAAAGUGGUACGCGAGCUGGGUUUAGAACGUCGUGAGACAGUUCGGUCCCUAUCUGCCGUGGGCGCUGGAGAACUGAGGGGGGCUGCUCCUAGUACGAGAGGACCGGAGUGGACGCAUCACUGGUGUUCGGGUUGUCAUGCCAAUGGCACUGCCCGGUAGCUAAAUGCGGAAGAGAUAAGUGCUGAAAGCAUCUAAGCACGAAACUUGCCCCGAGAUGAGUUCUCCCUGACUCCUUGAGAGUCCUGAAGGAACGUUGAAGACGACGACGUUGAUAGGCCGGGUGUGUAAGCGCAGCGAUGCGUUGAGCUAACCGGUACUAAUGAACCGUGAGGCUUAACCUUACAACGCCGAAG
rnacentral:rRNA from 1 species